rnacentral:lncRNA from 1 species
CUCAAAGUUUUAUUGCUAAAAUAUUUCUAAUGAAUUGAACUCAAAUUCCUCAUUUUACAAAAGGCAACGAGAAUACCAAUCACAUAAAUGGAAUACACACUCACACACCAGAAGACAGAAGUGUGAUAAGUCCUCCGAGAGGAUGACCUAUACCGAGUCCCAAACAAACACUCCUCCUCACACACAGUCCUUGAUGAGACACAUGUGAGAACCAAUUGGCAAUAUGACCAAAUGACACUCAAUGCUCAUAAGUGAUCCCUAACAGCAGACACAGGUCAGAACCAAUAGGAAAAUGCCCAAAUAACACUGCAUGUUCAAAAGAAAAGUUUGCAGGUACGCACCAGUGGACACAGAUCAAUGGGACUUGGUGCUGGGGCACAUCACUCAUCCAGAUGCAUUUUUCCGUUCCGCCGAUGGAAAGCUGAAGUUGGCAGUCAGGGCCGAUCAGGGGAGAGACAAGGAAGAUCCCCAAACAAAUGGUUUCAGCAGCAGCCAGGAAGGACCCCCAAAACCCCUCUGGGGCCAGUAGCCAUGAGCAGCAGGCUCAUCAAGGCUAGCCUGGUGGUGUCAUGGUGGGGCAAGCCCCAGGAGCCAGAUCUCGUGAGAGCACAGCUUCAUGUGGGAGCCAAAUACUUCCAAAAAGUGGUUCCAGCUGCUCCAGGCUCAGAGGCCAUUAAAGAGGCAAAGUUGGUGGAAAGGAAAUGGGCAAGAGCUUUUAAAGGGGAGUUUAACGGAUGUAUAGGCAGAGGGAGGGGAUAUAGCAGAAACAGCACAUAGAUCAAUGGGACAAUGAAGAGGCCAGAAAUAAAUCCACACACUUAUGGUCAAUUAAUUUAUGACAAGUUAGGAAAUAGUAUACAGUGAAGAAAAGACAAUCUCUCCAAUAAAUGGUUCAGGGAAAACCAAAUAGCUAUGAAACUGUUCCAUAUCAUGGUUGUGAUCAUAUAUAUGAGUCUAUGCAGGUGAGGAGAUGUUACAGAACUAUAUACACAUACAUAUGAAAAACUUUCUUGUGAAAAAAAAAACUGGUGAAACCUUAAUGGGGUGGGAAGUCUAGUCUAAUUAAUUGCAAUCUGUCUAUGUAAGUUUCUUAAUUUGGUAUCAUACUGUAGUUUUGGAAGUUGUUACCAUUGGGGAAAGCAGUGUGAUGAUUACAUGGGACCUCUUUGUAUGAUUUUUGCAACUUCUUGUGACUAUAAUUAUUUCCAGAUAAAAAUUUUAAAAAGUAAAGUUACUGACCCCAAUUUCCUUGCAAAUAUGAAUAACUCUGUGACCAACUUUCAACCAAUGAGAUAU